rnacentral:rRNA from 1 species
GACGAACCGUCCAAACGUUAUUCGGAAUCACUGGGCUUAAAGGGUGCGUAGGCGGUCCGGAAAGUUGGGUGUGAAAUCCCUCGGCUCAACCGAGGAAUGGCGCCCAAAACUUCCGGACUAGAGUGAGGCAGAGGUGAGCGGAACUUGCGGUGGAGCGGUGAAAUGCGUUGAUAUCGCAAGGAACACCAGUAGCGAAGGCGGCUCACUGGGCCUUUUCUGACGCUGAGGCACGAAAGCUGGGGGAGCGAACGGGAUUAGAUACCCCUGUA